CCCCCCCCCCCCCCAGCCGACGUUGGUUCCGAUUCGAGCCCUGUUGCCAUUCUAGGUUGAAAGGCGCAGUAUCAUUUUCAUUUCCGGUCUGUGCAAGGUUCGAACCCGGGUUCGCGAUCUUUGUUGGUUCUGUUUUAAUUUCUCGCAAGGCUUGUACUUACAGAUUUCAUCUGUUGAUAUUAAAGAGAAUCCUCUUCAAAAAGGUUUGUCUCUUUACUGGUUUAUUUAUGUUAGUCAUGUAUUGGUAAUCAUUCAAAGUUUGAUCAUAGGAGUUGAAGAAAAGAUCGUACUAUUUGGUUAUUAGAAACAAUUCCUACUGAUUAAGUUACUGUCGUCUCUUUGGCUUAACCCCCUGUAUUAAACGAUUAGAUCUUAUGGGAUUAGUAAGCUGACUGGCUGUAUUAGUUUUCUUUUAUUUAAAUGUUAUUAGUCUUACUAGAACUCUCUGUUGCAAUUUCAUUGAAGCCUUCCAUGAUCUCCUUUAAAUAAAGUGAACUUGGAGUCUAUUUUAAAAAGCAUGAUUUGUGCUCCUUUCCCAUUUACUCAAUGUGAGUGUACUGUUUGGUGUGUGAAUUAAUAAAUAUUUAAAGAAGGGUCUGUAGAGUUCAACUUUAGAAAUCAACAGAAUUGGAUAAGGAACUAAAGCUAUACAAAAUCUUUUAAUGGCUUCUCCUAAUAUUUUGGUUCAUUUAGUUUGGUAUUCUGUUAUUUUACUUGGAUGGCUAUUCAUUUAAUUUUCAUCGAAUGGCCUGAGUGUUUAUUUCCCGGAUUGGCUUGAAUUUAGAUAUUAUAAAUGACCUUUAUAGUUUGCUUUAGACAUGAUCAAUUUGUGGUUAUGUUCGCGUGACAUAAUUACGAUUCUUUAAGGAUAAAUCGAGGUGUGUCAUGUUAAUAAAAUCUCAAGAUGCACGACCCUAAUUUGUUUAAUCUUGAAUUGAUCCUUAGACUCCGAGGUGUGCCAUUUAGUAAAUUCCAAGGCCCUCGCAAAACUGCAAAAGCGUAAUUGCUGUAAGCGCGUUAGUUUAACAAUUUACCUUUCCUAAAUUUGGGUGCACAUUUAUGUGACCGAAAUUCAAAUCUCAACGAAGUUAGAAUGUGUCAAAAAUCACGGGUGCAUUUAUGUGACGUGGUUUGAGACAUAUUUUAACGACGUUGCAAUUUUCUCUUAAAAAAAAAUAAAAGUAGUUAAAAGAUUCAAUAUGCACAUAAGCCCAUAAUUGUAUAAAAUCAGAUAAUUUAAGCCAAAUAUAACAGUUGAGCGACCGUGCUAGAACCACGGAACCCGGAAAUGCCUAACACCUUCUCCCUGGUUAACAGAAUUCUUUAUCCAGAUUUAUGGUUCGCGGACUGUAAACAUGGACAUUCUUUUUCUCGAUUUCGGGAUUCUAACUGGUAACUUGGGACACCAUAAAUUUCCAAGUGGCAACUCUGAAAGUCUCUCAAAAUUGAAUUCCGUAUCGAUUUUUCUUUAAUUGGAAAAACUCACUUAUCUACGCCCUUUGCCGGGUUGUAGAUAUCCAAAAGGAGGUGUGACAGCUCUGGCGACUCUGCUGGGGAAAUUUGAAAUUUUCCUUCUACAUCCCAGUUCAGGGUUCAAGAAUUCGAGCUUAGAAUAAUUGUUGUAUUUGGCUUUGUUUAUUAGCUGAUUUUACAUGUUGGCAUAAUGUGUAAAAUGAUGCUUUUACCGCUUUGAUAUUAUCUGAACUGUGCAUAUAAACUGCCAAGUAACCCUUCACUUCUCACCUCCGGGGAUGUGCUUAUUGGUUGAGACUCCCUAUUCUGUUAGUGUCAUACCUUGAAAUAAGAAAGAGACCGGGUAAGUUACUAAGCCGGAUGGCUUUUUGGUUACCGGUACGUAGCCACCUCCUCGACUCGAGUUGUCCGCUCGGGUACACUAUCUAGAACAUAUACCAAGGUUUUUAACCUAGAGUAACUCAUCCUCAUGCCGGAUCCCUAGUAGGAACGCUUAUUUGCAUUAUGCAUUUGACUUAGAGGACUCAACACAGGGGUUGGGUCCGUCUAGGACGGGUGUACCCAAAUUACAAGACCAUCCUGCUGCAUUUUAUAUGCCACAUGUUGCAGUUUUUUCAAGAGUGAAAGGGUCAUUUGGCGACCAAUGAUAGCUGAGGGAAAAAAUGAGAAAAAAGAAAAACAAUGAAAAAAAGAGAGGGUGAAGUGUGGAAAUAGAGAAAGUAGGGUGUAGUUAUUAUUUUGUCACAUCUUUAUUAAAAAAAAGAUAAAUGAAAAUUUCAAAAAAUAUUUUAAUUUUUUUCACCGUUUCCUGAAAAUAAAAAAAAGGAAAAAAAAUUCAAAAAUAGUUUACAUAUAUCAUCAUUUUUCAAAAGAGAUAAAAGAAUUUGUGUUCUUUAAAAAUUAGCUGUUUUUUUAUUAUUCUUGCCCGUAUCCAAUUUGCCCGAACUACGCGAACCUGAUUCUCGUCUUUCGGGGCGUGAUACAUAGGCAACCCACAUAGGGUUCGAUUUUCCUUGUAAAUCUUAGAUUCUUGGCUUUGCGGGGUCAUAUCCAGAUUUUGCACUUCUAGCUACUUUUAGCCACAUAGGUUAUUUUUAGAAUUCAGAAGUUGCUUGUUAGAAAUUGUGUGCAGCCAGAUUUUGGACCUCUAGCUACUUUUAGCCACAUAGGUUAGUUUUAGAAUUCAGAAGUUUCUUGUUGGAAAUUGUGUGAAUUGAGUUGUGUCAACAGACUCUACUAUUGAAAUUCUUAGAGUUCAAGUUGGAAUUCUCUUGUCAAACUUCUUUUAUGCUGGUGAAAGUUCUGUUGUGCGCGAGUUUAGUAGUGAUAGUUUGAAAUCCGGUUUUACUUCUAAAAAUUCUCUUUGUUGAAUUAAGUGCUUUUGUUACAUAAACUAUUGUCCAGUUGGUUAAAUUGCAGGUUUGUUGGAAAAUAAUUUGCUGCUUGUUUUCUUUUGCUGUAUAGGAUUUCAUACUUGUUGUUCACAAUCGUGCGUUGUUCGUGUUUCGCUCAACAAUGAAGAUUUCCACAUUUCUUUAAUUGAUUGUUGUUACUAUAGCUUUUCUUAACAAUUGAGAGAAUUUGGCAAAAGUUUUAGCUUCACUUAACUCAACUGCAUUGCUUCAGUUUAUAUGUCAACAAUACAUUAUUGAAAUUCAAGUUUUGAGCUAUUUUCUUUUAAAAGCAUAUCCCGCACUAUUCAGCUGUACUUUGUGGUUAUUCUGACUCAGUAUUUCUUUGAUUCUAAUGCUUUGUUUCUACAGUUGAGAUUGUCAUUAUGGGCUGAAAAUUUCUGUGCCUAUUGCUGCUGAAUUUAGUGCUCAAUGUAUUGGUGAAGUUUGAGUUUUGAGAAGCAAUUGGAUGGCGAACAUGUCAGCUUGUUUGAAUCUUAGAAUUUUGCAUUUAAAUGAAAUUUGUUGAUGUAAUACAAGUUUCCUAAGCAUUAUUUGUAUUUUUCUACAAUAUUUUGUAAACCUAAAACUGGGUUGGACAUUAGAAAUUGUUUAAAGAAUUUUGAACUCAAAUAAGAGCGUUUUGGACUGUUAUUGAAGGUUGUUGAAACAACCUUGAAAAUUUGCACUUUUUGCUCCAGUUGUCUAGUGAGUGCGAGCUGAUUUUUCUGCACAAUUGAAUUCAGUUGAUUACAAAUAUUUUGGUGAUUCAGUUAACAAGGAAUUACAAACUGAAAAAUAUUACUUAAAUUUACUUUGUUUGUUGCUCUAGUUUAGGUUGG
rnacentral:lncRNA from 1 species